UCUCUGAUAGUAUAUCGGUUAGUACACGCGCCUGUCAUCCGCUCCUACGUGAUGAAUUGUCGCGCGAAAGCUGGGUUCGACUCCCAGUCAGAGAG